CUCAAAUCUAAUUAUUCUCUCCCUUUCUUUGAGCCGGAGAGGGUGGAGAGAGAUAGAGAAAGAGACAGAGAGAGAGAGAGAGUGGCCAUCCACGUAGCUGUAGAUUUUGUUAUGCUGUGAUUUCUCUCUCUCUCUCCCUCACUCGCCCGCUCACUCCGAACCCCCUUCUACCCCCACCUCCUCCUCUCUCUCACUCAUUCUCCAUCUCUCGCUCACACACACACGCUCCAAACACUCUCUCUCUCCUCCUCUGCCUCUCUCUCUCAGUCUGUCUCUCCCUCCCUCAGCUUCACUCGCUCUUGUGCUGUAAGUUCAUUUGCUGUGUCAAGCAACAACUGGCUCGGGAGUGGGCAGUGGGUUUUGAUCCUUUUGUCAAGCAUCCCCCCUGCGAGUGUGUACCGCGUCCACCUGCACACCACGGGACUGGCCGCCUGGCUCUCUCUAACAUCGGCGUACCAUCCUGGGUUUAUCACGAUCAGGCAUCCCACCUUGCUGAGAUGGGCGGCACGAUGAGAUGCUAAAGGUUUGACAGGGCGAACCUGCUACUGUGGACUAUCAUCAUCACCAUCAUCGGGAUCAUCGCAGUGGCAAUGGGAGUCAGGACAUGGAUGCUAGCCGGAGGAUCUCCGAAGGGUCCUUGCAUCUCAGACGAGCCGUUGAGAAGCCCUUGCCUUGCGCUACAAAGCAUCUUCAAUCAAUUGUUUUGAAAAGGCCUUUCCGUUUUCUGACGAUGCCGGCGGUUCUGUUGUUUCUCUCUGUAAAGGACUCUCUUCGGUGACGGGUAUUCUUGGGUGGAUAAUACGGCUCUCGUUGUUAUUGCUUAAGAAUACGCGUAGUCGAGGAGAGUCAUGUCGGCGGCAACUGCAAUGGACUAGAGAGAGUGUUGAAUCCAGAAGGCCCACCUGCCUGCACGCACACAUGCGUUUGCUAACGCCGAGGUUCACGCCCACAUCCAUUUAUUGAGUCAGUGAAGCUGCAUUUCCUGUUUGUGUGUGAUGCUUGUGCUGUUGAUUUAUCCGGCUACUCCUGCUUUUCAGCCAGCCCAAAGGAAAAACUGGGCUUUUUAUGAUUCGCCGUCCUCACCCCAAAGGCUGUAUAUUGUAACGUCCCGGGCUGGGUUGUAGAUGCAAAUGUGUUCCAUUUGUGUCAUAUAUUCUUUUCUCAGGACCGCACACACACUCUACCUUUUUAAUGCAAAUUGAUUUUGAAAUGACAUUUAUUGUGCAGGGUUUCCAUAUGGUACUCCGGGGGGGGAUGGAUGGAGAAAAAAAAAAAAAUGAAUGGAAUGUCCACGAUGCCACUGACAGCUAAAUU